rnacentral:lncRNA from 1 species
AAAUUUGUAACUUAGGUAAAGUUUAGUGAUCACGUACUGAAAUUAUGUUUGAAUUGAAAUUGGAAAUAAGAAUGUUUAGCCGUAGCAUUCUGUAUUUCGGAGAUGAUUAAUUAACUGCAGUCUGCACCUUAAUAACAAGUAUAAACGUUGUUUUGGUGCGUAACCAGGUAUUUUCCGAUUGAAACUCAAAAUUCAAUUUUUCGCUAAUUAUGCCGGAGAUUGGAAACAGGAUGGCGACGCCAGUGCUCCAUUGCUGCAUUAUAUUUCUGCUCUUGCCUUUGGCUCUCAUCGUUGUAAAAAUCCAAUCUUUUUCCCCUUAUGAUUUGGGGUUUCCAAGUGUUAGUCCCAGAUUUCUCUCAAGUCUAUCUGGAGUCACUGAUGUGUCUUAGUUGUUGAUAAAACUAAAAUCAAAAUUAUGCAAGAUCAAUGUUCCAAUCCCAGCAAAAAAGCUUAGGUAAUUUCUUUCUAUUUUAAGUCUUAAUAGACAGACUACUUUAUAUUAUAUGGGGACAAUGCUAGUUUGUGUCUGUGUGUGCAUUUUAUAAAAAAAUGUCCUUAAAUUAUCUACAUUGUUCGAGCUCGAGGCAGUGGUGCACGUGCACCCACUGCUAUAUGGUGGUUCCGAUGCCAAGAUGCUUGUAUGCUAAUUUCAAAUAUGGUGGGGCAGUUUAUGCAUUUUCAAUUUGUAUUGGUAGUUUUGUUUUCUUCUCAGGAAACUGUGAGAUAGCUAUGAGAUGUUAGAGGCUGAUCUAGUAUAUAAAAGUAGCACCACUUAAUAUAUAAUGUGUUUUAUAAAAAUUGUCUUUGGAUUAUCUAUAUUAUUGGAGCUCGAGGUAGUGGUGCACGUGCACCUACUGCUUAUAUACUGGUUCCACAACCGAGACGUUUGUAUGUUCAUUUCAAAUUUCGUGUAGCAGUUUAUGCAUUUUCAAUUUAUUACUUCAAACACUUUAGUUACUUGGCCAUGUAUCUUCCUUUGUGAAACAAAUGUGGAAACAGCCAACCAUCUAUUGUUACAUUGUGAAUGUGAAUGGUCUGAUGAGAUGUCAAUGUCUAGUCUUCUCGUUGAAUUCGAUAUUGAUUAGUGUUGGAUGAGAUGGUUAUAUGAAUUACAAUCAAAAUUUGCUAGAUUGAUAUCAUUCGUUUAUGGAGUUUGUUUCAAUAAUUAUCACACUUUCCUUUAUCAUUGACACAGUUUCAUUUUAUGGCUUUGCCCUGCGCAUGCUGGCUUUGGAUGCCUAAUUCUUUUCCUGCCGGGUUAUCUUUUGCUUUGAAAAUUGAAACAGAAUAUAUAUAUUUUUUUUUAUUUUGCACCGGGUGUCCGAGUCUCUUUGAGCCCCGACUAAUCCCGGGGGUGCACAGGUCCUCGGCAAGGAGUUUCCCGCAAGUGCACCACGGUUAAUUCAGGUUUUACCCAUUCCGAUGGCCCUCAGAAAUUGUUUGCACCCAGUCGGUUUCGAACUUGAGACCUUGAAAGGGAGCAAACCCCAAGGCUCAAGUCAAUUGACACCAGGCCAACCCCUGAGGGUUGAAACAGAAUAAUUUAUUGUAAAGCUGAAAGCAAUUAUUGAGGAAACUUUUCUCGAUCUGUUGGUUUUCUUGACAGUAGACUGUAGGACGUUGAAGGCGGAUCUAUUAUACAAAGGAUAGUGGGUGCUAAACAUUUUCUUUAAAUCAUUACACACAUAUAUGUUGUUUGAACCUAAGGCAGUGCUGCGUGCACACAUUGCUUAUAUUGUGGCUCUACUUCUGAGACAUUAAUAUAUUAAUUUCAAUUGUGGUAUGGUAAUUUAUGCAUUUUCAACUUGUUACUUUAACACAUUUGUUGCUUGGUCGUGUAUAUUUAAUGUUUAGAUUUUAGAUUAGCAGCAUGUAUAAUAAUGAGAUGUCAAUGCUCGUCUUCUAGUUGAAUCUAAUAUUGGUUACAGUUCAAUGAUAGGUUAUUUGAAUUGUAAUCAAAUUUGCUAGAAUGAUAUAAUUCUUUUUAUGAAACUUCGUUUCAAUAAUUGCACUUAUUGUUAAUGUAGACACACCGUUUCCUUUUUUGGAAAUAUAAGGGUGAAUUUUUCCCUUGGUCCAUAGUAAGACUGGUAGCAACAUUUCUGCUUUACUGAAAUGUAAGCCUAAUGAACAGCACAUUCUUGGUAAUUGUUUUUCUAGUUAUUCAAAUUUGCAAGUAUUUGAACUAACAAUACUUGUCUACAUUCGAGUGUUUCUUUACUAUGUAAUCCCAUUUGUGAAGAGGGGCUUGGAGAUGCUGAAGAUUAAACAGCAUAUCAACUUAGGAC